rnacentral:misc_RNA from 1 species
GGAAACAAUCUUUUCACUCGACCGAGUCGCCAGUUUAGUGGAGCUACCCUUGAUUUGGAACAUAGCAAACGUACAAAUAUUUUUCCAUCGACAUUUAUUGAUCGCAUAUAAAUACAAGCUCCAUAGGCUGAUUCUGAAGCGUCACUGAAUGAAUGUAGUUCAAUGAUUUCGGGAGAAUUAAUAAGAACUAAUCUUUGUAAUUUGAAGUCCUUUAAAUGCCGUAAAUUUUGAACAAACCUUUGCCAAUCUCUUUGGAUAUCGAUAGGCGCAAGUUCAUCCCAAUGUACUUUAUUUUUCCACAACCGUUGUAAUAUUAAUUUUG